rnacentral:rRNA from 1 species
AAUGAACGCUGGCGGCAGGCCUAAAACAUGCAAGUCGAACGCUCUAGCAAUAGGGAGUGGCGCACGGGUGAGUAACAUGUGUGAAUAUGCCUUUUGGUACGGGACAACGUCUGGAAACGAACGCUAAUAACGUAUGGUCCCCCCGGGGUAAAGAAUUAUCGCCAAAAGAUUAGCCCUCACUAGAUUAGCUAGUUGGUAAGGAAAUGGCUUAUCAAGGCGACGAUCUAUAGCUGUUCUGAGAGGAAGAUAAGCCACGCUGGGACUGAGACACGGCCCAGACUCCUACGGGAGGCAGCAGUUAUGAAUAUUGAACAAUGGGCGGAAGCCUGAUCCAGCCAUGCCGCGUGAGUGAGGAAGGCGUGCGGUAUGUAAAGCUCUUUAGCCAACGAGUAUAAUGACUGUAGUCGGAGAAUAAGCCCCGGCUAACUUCGUGCCAGCAGCCGCCGUAAGAC